CAAGACAUUAUCAUACUGAAAAGCUCUGCCUAUUUUUCUUAAUUUCUUCUUAGAGGCUAUACCGAAGGGGAUAGAUGAAGCGAGUAGUACUGAGAAGUGUGGAGCCACCAAGGCCGGUUACGACUGUGCGAUAUGUGGAGUGCCAAAAGAACUAUGCGGCGGCGGCUGGAUGCUACGUCUUCGAUGGGUGCAGGGAGUUCAUGCCCAGUGGAGCAGACGGAAAUGCCGCCUUGACUUGUGCUGCUUGUGGCUGCCAUAGGAAUUUCCAUAGAAAGGUUGAAAGCUAAGGUACUUAGCGACUGUUCUUUGUCUCCAUAUUCCAUGGAGAACAAUAAUAAUAACUUGUUUCGGGUUC